rnacentral:rRNA from 1 species
AAUGAACGCUGGCGGCGCGCCUAAUACGUGCAAGUCGAGCGAGAAGACGUAGCAAUACGUUUGUAAAGCGGCGAACGGGUGAGGAAUACAUGGGUAACCUACCCUCGAGUGGGAAUAACUAGCCGAAAGGUUAGCUAAUACCGCGUACGCUCCUUGGACUUCGGUUCAGGGAGGAAAGCGAUACCGUGGGUAUCGCGCUCUUGGUUGGGCUCAUGUCCUAUCAGCUUGUUGGUGAGGUAACGGCUCACCAAGGCUUCGACGGGUAGCUGGUCUGAGAGGACGAUCAGCCACACUGGCACUGCGACACGGGCCAGACUCCUACGGGAGGCAGCAGUAAGGAAUAUUGCGCAAUGGGCGAAAGCCUGACGCAGCGACGCCGCGUGGGGGA